UGGCAUGGGGUCCUGCACAGGCUGCAGGUGGAUCUCUGCUCCCCCUGGGGCUGCAGGGACACAGCUGCCUCACCAUGGGCUUCACGGGAUUCUCUGCCCCAGCAUGGAGCCCUUCCUGCCCCUCCUUUUCCACUGACCUUGGUGUCUGCAGAGUUCUUUCUGUUGCUUAUUCUCACUUCUGUGGCUGCUGUAGUUCAGCCAUUUUUUUCCUUAAAUACAUUAUCACAUCACGGUCGCUGGUGGUAUCAGCCAGCCUUCUGUUGCUUACACUACAAGGAGAGAACACUGAAUGAAAGGAAGAGUUGUAUCAGUUGGUAUGAGAAGUCAGUGUCGAUGCACCUAGAGUAUGUAUUGGAGUUCCAGCAUCCCAAGCAGCUGAAGAACUAAAUUGGGAGUAAGAAGAAUGCUCUAAAAUGAAUCACAGGGCACGUUUUCUGUGUAGUAUCAAAUGGUCUUGGAUAACCCCAGCUACCUUGCCCCCA